rnacentral:rRNA from 1 species
AGCGAACGCUGGCGGCAGGCCUAACACAUGCAAGUCGAACGAAGCCUUCGGGCUUAGUGGCGGACGGGUGAGUAACACGUGGGAACGUACCUUUUGGUUCGGAAUAACGCAGAGAAAUUUGCGCUAAUACCGGAUGAGCCCUUCGGGGGAAAGAUUUAUCGCCGAAAGAUCGGGCCCCGUUGGAUUAGGUAGUUGGUGUGGUAAAGGCGCAACAAGCCUACGAUCCAUAGCUGGUCUGAGAGGAUGGUCUGCCACACGGGGACUGAGACACGGCCCAGACUGCUACGGGAGGCAGCAGUGGGGAAUCUUGCGCAAUGGGCGAAAGCCUGACGCAGCCAUGCCGCGGGAAUGAUGAAGGUCUUAGGAUUGUAAAAUUCUUUUACCAGGGACGAUAAUGACGGUACCUGGAGAAAAAGCCCCGGCUAACUUCGUGCCAGCCGCCGCCGUAAAAC